rnacentral:rRNA from 1 species
UACGUAGGGUGCGAGCGUUGUCCGGAAUUAUUGGGCGUAAAGAGCUCGUAGGCGGUGUGUCACGUCGGCCGUGAAAACCUGCAGCUUAACUGUGGGCGUGCGGGCGAUACGGGCAGACUAGAGUACUGCAGGGGAGACUGGAAUUCCUGGUGUAGCGGUGGAAUGCGCAGAUAUCAGGAGGAACACCGGUGGCGAAGGCGGGUCUCUGGGCAGUAACUGACGCUGAGGAGCGAAAGCGUGGGGAGCAAACAGG